CUCUGAACUCUGGUUCUCUGGUAGAGGAAACGUGAGGCGUACUGGCAGUUUUAAAAUCAUGGCCCAGGUGCCAUUGACAUUCAAUGAUGUUGCCAUAGAUUUCUCUCAGGAAGAAUGGGAAUGCCUAAACUCCGAUCAGAAGGAUUUGUACAGAGAUGUAAUGUUGGAGAAUUACACUAACUUCAUCUCUUUGGGAUUGCAUCAAAGAACAUGGCAUUUUGGGGGACUUAAUACAUCCAAACUGGCAGAACCAUUGUCAGAGAAAACAAAUUUCAUAUUAUAUGUACAUUCAGAAUGCCUGUAAAUAUUUUAAUAACUGGUCC